rnacentral:rRNA from 1 species
AUACGGGGGGUGCAAGCGUUGUUCGGAUUGACUGGGCGUGAAGAGCACGUAGGUGGAUUUAUAAGUCGGCUGUGAAAGCCCCGAGCUUAACUUGGGAACUGCAGUCGAAACUAUAAGUCUUGAAUGUUUGAGAGGUUGGGGGAAUUCCAGGUGUAGGAGUGAAAUCCGUAGAUAUCUGGAGGAACACCGGAGGCGAAGGCGCCCAACUGGCGAUACAUUGACACUGAGGUGCGAAAGCGUGGGGAGCAAACAGGAUUAGAAACCCUAGUAGUCC